AUGAUGACGAGCAACGCCCUGCACAGAACAGUAAGAGCCGCUUGGACCGAUGACGGGGAAAGCAAUUACGGAGAACAAGGAGACCCUGCAGGCAUGGUAACUCCCAUGAUACUGUCUGAUAAAGCUGAAGUGGUGCCUUGCAGAUACAUGAAUGCAGGGAAGGGGGCUGUUGCAGAGACACAUGAGGGUCGACUUAGUAUGACUUUGUCUCUUGUCUUUAGCAUGCAAAAGAAAAAAAUACGGACACAAAGGAGGAGGCUGAGAAAAGACAGAGAGGUGUUGGAGGCUUUAAAAAGCAACAGCGGCAGCAGCAGCAGCAGAGAGCACUGGAGAGGAGUUGGAGAUGGAACAUCCAGAGAGGCUUGAGACCGGUGACGUGAUGAGCUUUAUACUGUUGGGAUCCAUUUCUUAAUCAUUCCUCUAGGACAGUCAUUUCCCCUCCAUUCCCUGGCUAUAAAACACCCUCCAUAUGGCACCUUUGGCAAAGGGCGUCAUUCUGCUCCUCAACAGGCAGGCGUCAGGGGUGAGCCCAGCGAUCUGAAAAUGUGCUGACACCUCGCUUUUUGGAACAGUUAGCUCUGCAGAGUUAAUGGGAUGAGUGGGGUUAGGGGGAUUAGUGUAUAAGAAAGAAAUGUCCCUUAUUCUUUUUAUAGCAACAGACGCUCCUUCUCGCGCUCUCAAUCAUAUCAGGUAAGUUAAUAUUAGUCAUCAGACACCCUCUUUGGCAGGAACUGUGGAAUAAGGGGUUACUGAGUGGAGUGACGGAAAAGGAAAAAGGGUUUUGGAUGCCCUGCCGCAGUCCCCUUUGUGGUGUGGGGCCGAUGCCAGACAACCCCCCCUUUCUGAUACUGCUACUCAGCACUGCAGUACUGUAGCAACAGGAUGGAUCUCUCUCUUAAUAUGUGUGUGUGUGUAUGUGUGUGUGUGAGAGAGAGAGAGAAAGAGAGAGAGAGAGGGAGACAAAGCGCAAUAGGGGAGCCAGAGAAAAAUGAAAAUGAAGUCACAGCAUGUCAGGGCGGCGGCAACAUGCGGCGCAGAUAUUGAGAUAACAAGCAUGUUGCACGCGGCAAAGAAACAAAGCGGCUCGGACGCCCCUCAGAAGAUCUUUGCAUCCAUUUGUUUCAGGAGGCUGCUGAGAUGGGGUGGCGUGCUGCCAGUGAUGAGCUCUUGUCUGUGUGUGUGUGUCUGUGUGUGUGGAAGAGACAGAGCGAGAGGGUCACUUCAUCAGAUGUGUCUUACAAAGUGAGGACAGAGCAUUUCCCUGAAGUCCUGCACUUAAUAUCUGAAGCAAACCUGCAGAAAUUGAUUGAUUGAAAGUGAUUAUUAUUCUGCCGGGGAACGGAUGAGUGAUGCUCAACUGGGAUGUGUGGCUGCCAGUAGCUUUGCUCCUGCUGCAUUGUACUCUGCCUUUUUUGCUGUAAUCUAAGAAUCUUUCUGACUCACCUGGUCACAUACAGGAUUACAACAGCUCAACUGAGCGUACUACGGCACAUUACUAUUGUUAGAGAGACGGACUGUAUGCAAUAUGCAUAAUGCCUUUAACUCAACAAUCCGAAAGCCCGCCUGCACGCACAGUCCAAAGUCCUGAAUAAUAAAUGACAUCUGCCACGAAAGUGGUUCUCCUGCUCCGCUGAAUUAAGUAUGAUUGAUCUACAUAUUGCCACUGAAACUAUAGGAGGCACUCACUAUCAAUUGAGUCCAUCCUAUAGUUGCACAGGAGGUGUAAAAUAAGAAUGCGACUAGCUGGGGGUUGAUGCAGGAUAAGCGCAGAGUAGCACUUAUAAAGGGU
rnacentral:lncRNA from 1 species